AGCUGUUGACUGAGGUAAACAAUGCAAUUGUAUAUACAAUUAUUGCAUAUACUGUAGUCUUUCAAAUUUGUGAUUGACUUAGUGUUGUUGUUUGUCUAUUGCUAUUUUUGUAUAACGUACUUUCAGAUCACUGAAAUCCCACCUGAUGUGGUGGAAGUUGUCGAACCAGAUCAGAACGCCUUCGAGGACCACCUUCAUGGACGGACUGAGAAGGAUGAAGAGGUUUUUGACCAUGUAAAAAGUAUUAUCCGCUGUUAAUUAAUUUUCUGGCCCUUCAAGAGAUAUGUAAGAAAUGUAUUUGUAAUAUGAAAUAUAAUUGCAUUUAUUCCUGUUAUCAAUCAAGGUGAGACUGAACAUGGACAAGGCGCAGGAGAAACAAGAAUCAAGAAGGGGACCAAGUGCUACGACAUCCGGGCGAAUUACUUGGUUUGAAAGAAGAAGGACGAAAGGAAGGCGAGACCUGGGAAACCUCGCUGCUCUUUCGCUCCUAGCUGGGGUCACCAUCUGUUAAAGGUUACCUUGGUGGAAGCCAACAAUCUUCUAGUUGGAGCAGUUGGACGGUCGACCAUUGACGCCCUACACUUCAAUGAAGCCGAAUAGACAAAGACCAUCGACUGUCCGAGCCCCCCAGGAGGUAUCCCAUCCACCAGAACCAGCGAGUUCGGAUCAGUCUGAUUCUCUGUGCUCUGAGAUGGAGGGGGACCAGCUUGAGGAGCAAGGGGUUCUGCCCAACACCCAGACGUGGAUCCACCUGAUGUCCUCCAUUACCAACCACCCUGCAACUUUUCAUUACAUAAUCUACAGCUACUGUUGUUGUCAUUAUCUGCUAAAAAAGUUUUUGCUCUAUCAUACUUGGCACAUA